rnacentral:tRNA from 1 species
GCUAAAGUAGCUCAGUGGGGUGAGUGUUAGACUCAAGAUUUGAAGGUUCCCUGGUUCAAUCUCAGGCUUUGUG